rnacentral:lncRNA from 1 species
GGGGGGGUGAGUGUUGUGAUUAUGAUUUGGGAGCAAUAAAAAAGGAAAAGAAAUGACUCUUUGUGUUUAAGUGAAUUGUCUUAUUGGGAUAAGUAGAAAAACCUCUAGCUCAAGUUAUGAAAAGUGCCCCCAUCUAAAAAAAAAAAAGAAAUAAAAUAUAAAAAGAAAAGAAAAAGAAAGAAAAAUAGGGCUAGCAAAGUUGUUAGGAGCUAAGUAAUGUUUUGAGGUUGUGGAAAAUCCCUUGUAGAUUUCAAAGAGAAGGAGUAAGUUCUUAGGAUCUUUUGGUGAGAGAUGUGAGUUGGGUUUGACAUUUGGGAAUGAUUGUGUAAUUGUAUGUUUGGGAAAAAGAUAGAACAAUGGAGAUUGAGCAUUGUAAGCAUGAGUUGAUCCCUUUUUUAGAUAUAUUAUGUGCAAUGUCAAGGCUACUUGUUUCGAGAGUAAACCACCUUAAAGAUCAUAUAUUUUGAACCUCUUGACUCACUUGAAUAAAAGCCUUCCCUUACCCAGCCAAAUGACUUGGACCAACUGACCAUUUCCAAGAACUCACCUGAUGUUUUGUGCUUAAUGAAUGUGAGAGUUGGUUGAUUUGAAUGUGUGGAUGCUUGAUGAUGAGUGUAAGGGCAAAAAGAGUUGAGAUAGGCCAAGAGAAGCUAGAGUGUAAUAAGAGAGUGUGCUAGUUGUGUUUGCUAGUUGUGUUUCUUUUGGCUAUGAGCUCUCACCUUCAAACCUCUCUGCCUAUGAGUUCUAGAAAGUUUACUUGUGGACAAGUAAAAGAACAAGUUUGAGGGAGUUGAUAUCUUGCAUAUUUGCAUUGUUUUAUCCAUUCAUCCAUGAGCAUUUUUAUCAUAUAGAUUAGGAUUUAGCCAUGUCUAGGUUGUAUUUUGCAUUCAUUGUCCUUAUUAGGUGUUGGAGUGUGCCAUGG